GGAGAGAUGGCCGAGCGGUUUAAGGCACCGGUCUUGAAAACCGGCGAAGGCUCAAACCUUCCGUGGGUUCGAAUCCCACUCUCUCCGCCA
rnacentral:tRNA from 4 species